rnacentral:rRNA from 1 species
CAGUCGCCGCGGGAAUACGAAGGAUGCAAGCGUUACUCGGAAUUACUGGGCGUAAAGCGUGCGUAGGUGGUGGUUUAAGUCCGUUGUGAAAGCCCUGGGCUCAACCUGGGAAUUGCAGUGGAUACUGGGUCACUAGAGUGUGGUAGAGGAUAGUGGAAUUUCCGGUGUAGCAGUGAAAUGCGUAGAGAUCGGAAGGAACAUCUGUGGCGAAGGCGACUAUCUGGGCCAACACUGACACUGAGGCACGAAAGCGUGGGGAGCAAACAGGAUUAGAUACCCCUGUAGUCCCUGUCUUUUAUAC